UCGCGCCAACUGUCAAAAUGUUUUGAAAAACAAAAUGCUCUUAUUUCGAUGCAUUUCAAGAGUUUUGUUGUGAUAAGAACACUGGAAUAUAGACUGAAAUACUAUCCAACCAUUAGACUCAUGAUCUUGACAUGGAUCCAAGAUGCUGGUAACUAGGCGGGACGGAUUGUUACACAGAACUGCAGGUUUCUGGAUGGAGACUCAGCGCCAUGUCACAAAUACUUCAGAACCUAGAAUGAAAGUUACCAAAAGAGCAAUAGACUUUCCAAUCUCUACAAAAUUCAUCUUAACUGUUUUUCAAGGUGAUACUUGAGACUACCAAAGGCUUUUCAAGGACAGAAUUCACAAAACAGUUUAUGCCACCAUCUCAUAUCAAAGGAUUGUGCUUGAGUUGAACAGCCUUCAAACAGAAACUGUUUCAACACCUUCAAUGGAUUCAUUCUGAUUCAGUUUACC